UACAGAGGUCCCAAGCGUUGUUCGGAUUCACUGGGCGUAAAGGGUGCGUAGGCGGUCGGGUAAGUCUGACGUGAAAUCUUCAAGCUUAACUUGGAAACUGCGUCGGAUACUAUUCGGCUGGAGGAAUGGAGGGGAGACUGGAAUACUUGGUGUAGCAGUGAAAUGCGUAGAUAUCAAGUGGAACACCAGUGGCGAAGGCGAGUCUCUGGACAUUUCCUGACGCUGAGGCACGAAGGUCAGGGGAGCAAACGGG
rnacentral:rRNA from 1 species